AGGAUUUCAAAAAAAAAAAUGAUAUUGAUCAUUUGUGGUUACAUAACAUUUAGGGUGUGUUUGGUUCGCUUCUUUUUUACCAUGGAAUCGGAAUCGGAAUAGGUGAAUCCGUUUGUGGAUGUUUGGUAUGCGGGAGUCUCAUUCAGAUUCCGGUUCCCGAGCGGAAUGGGAAUCUCCCAAUCACCUCUUUUUCCAAUUCGGCCUAGGAUGUUGGAUUAGAAGUUGAAUCCGGACAGAAUGGAUAUUUAUUCGGAUUAAAUUUAUUUUUUCAACUUUUUUAAUUAAAAUAUGAGUUUAAAUUUAGAAAUUAAAUUUAUAAUUUUAAAUUUUAAUUNUUAAAUUAAAUUUAUGGAUUCAAAUUAAAAUUUAAAUUGUAAUUUUAAGUUUGAAUUUGAAUAGAUCAAAAUUUAGUUUUAAAUUUUGAAUUAUCCACUCAACUUCAAAGUUUACUUUUUUAAAAAAAUAUAUAAAAUUUUGACAUUAUUUUAAAAUUUUGAUGUAAAUUUUUAAUAUUUAAUUUUAAUUUGAAUUUAAAUUAAUAUAUUAUAAAGAUGAAGUUCGCAUAUUAAUUUGAUUAUGUUUUUUAUAUCUACCUGAACCAAGCACCGACAAUAGAAAUAAUUUAUUUCGAUUCCGAUUCAGGUAACGAACCAAAUAGAAUUAGAUAAUGAGUCAUUCCGAUUCCGAUUCCAAUUCUGGUUGCGACUUCAAACCAAACACGCCCUUAGUUACUCAAAUCAAACAACAUCCUCCACAAAUCAUUCCAUUACAUUUCCCCAACAAUUUUAGAAAAACCAUUUUUGCUCAGAAACACAAUCAUUCUUGUCCAUCCUUUUCAACAGUUGCUUCUUCAUAGGAGGAGCACUGCCUCAAUUCCUGGAGUGAAUAUAUAUCCACUUAAAAUGCUUCCACCAAAGGAUCAAAAGUAUAGCCCCAAUCAUACCCACCUUGGAAAACCACUUGUGAUGAUUAAAUUAUCUCCAAUUGUACCUUCUCUCAAAAAAAAAAAAAAAACUCCAAUUGCUCCAUCCCCUAUCAUUAAACCCCACACAUCAAUUCAUCACAUUCCCUCAUGAUUUUCCACUACCCAACCAUGAUAUCCUCUCUCUCUCUCUCUCUCUCUCUCUCUCUCUCUCUCUCAUUUAAAUUGUCUGAGAAUGAUACUUCCAGUAUUUAUAUUCAAUCUCUCUCUCUCUCUCAUUUAAAUUGUCUGAGAAUAAUACUUCCAGUAUUUAUAUUCAAUCUCUCUCUCUCUCAUUUAAAUUGUCAGAGAAUGAUACUUCCAGUAUUUAUAUUCAAUCUCUCUCUCUCUUAUUUAAAUUGUCAGAGAAUGAUACUUUUAGUAUUUAUAUUCAAUAUUAUGGAAUGAUCAUUUUUCGUCAAAACUUAAAUUAUCAGAAAAUAAUAUUUUUAAUAUUUAUAUUUUACACGUUUGAAUUUGAAAUAUUUGAUUGGUUUGAAAUAUAAACUUUAAAUUAAAUAGAGUAUG
rnacentral:lncRNA from 1 species